rnacentral:rRNA from 1 species
GAUGAACGCUGGCGGCGUGCCUAAUACAUGCAAGUCGAGCGAACGGACGAGAAGCUUGCUUCUCUGAUGUUAGCGGCGGACGGGUGAGUAACACGUGGAUAACCUACCUAUAAGACUGGGAUAACUUCGGGAAACCGGAGCUAAUACCGGAUAAUAUUUUGAACCGCAUGGUUCAAAAGUGAAAGACGGUCUUGCUGUCACUUAUAGAUGGAUCCGCGCUGCAUUAGCUAGUUGGUAAGGUAACGGCUUACCAAGGCAACGAUGCAUAGCCGACCUGAGAGGGUGAUCGGCCACACUGGAACUGAGACACGGUCCAGACUCCUACGGGAGGCAGCAGUAGGGAAUCUUCCGCAAUGGGCGAAAGCCUGACGGAGCAGCGCCGCGUGAGUGAUGAAGGUCUUCGGAUCGUAAAACUCUGUUAUUAGGGAAGAACAUAUGUGUAAGUAACUGUGCACAUCUUGACGGUACCUAAUCAGAAAGCCACGGCUAACUACGUGCCAGCAGCCGCGGUAAUACGUAGGUGGCAAGCGUUAUCCGGAAUUAUUGGGCGUAAAGCGCGCGUAGGCGGUUUUUUAAGUCUGAUGUGAAAGCCCACGGCUCAACCGUGGAGGGUCAUUGGAAACUGGAAAACUUGAGUGCAGAAGAGGAAAGUGGAAUUCCCUGUGUAGCGGUGAAAUGCCCACAGAUAUGGAGGAACACCAGUGGCGAAGGCGACUUUCUGGUCUGUAACUGACGCUGAUGUGCGAAAGCGUGGGGAUCCAACAGGAUUAGAUACCCUGGUAGUGCACGCCCGAAAACUAUGAGUGGCUAAGUAUUAGGGGGGUUUCCGCCCGUUAUUGCUGCAGCUAACGCAUUAAGCACUCCGCAUGGGAAAUACGACGGCCAAGGUUGGAACUCGAAAGGAAUUGACGGGGACCCGCACAAGCGGUGGAGCAUGUGGUUUAAUUCGAAGCUACGUGAAGAACCUUACCAAAUCUUGACAUCCUUUGACAACUCUAGAGAUAGAGCCUUCCCCUUCGGGGGACAAAGUGACAGGUGGUGCAUGGUUGUCGUCAGCUAGUGUUGUGAGAUGUGGGGUUAAGUCCCGCAACGAGCGCAACCCUUAAGCUUAGUUACCAUCAUUAAGUAGGGCACUGUAAGUUGACUCCCGGUGACAAACCGGAGGAAGGUGGGGAUGACGUCAAAUCAUCAUGCCCCUUAUGAUUUGGGCUACACACGUGCUACAAUGGACAAUACAAAGGGCAGCGAAGCCGCGAGGUCAAGCAAAUCCCAUAAAGUUGUUCUCAGUUCGGAUUGUAGUGUGCAACUCGACUACAUGAAGCUGGAAUCGCUAGUAAUCGUAG